CGGUCUCGUGGGCGAAUAGUGUGGCCACACUUUCGUCGCACAUGGAAUGAUGUUUGUGAUUGAUGGAUUGUUGAGAAAGUGGGGAGAUUAUUUGACUGACCAGUCUAUGAAAAUGUUUUGGUGAUACUCUUGAUAUUCUUAAAUAAACGUAAAAAAACUCGAGUUCACUGGUUGCGAUGGAUGUUGCGAUGGAUGUUGAGUCGGCCUAGGAAAUUUUUGGAUGCGUUGUGUCUUCAUACAUAGGCGUCAUCAUUGACUCUCUUUGAAACCUUAUUUCCGCUGCUAUACUUUUUCUAUCUAUGCCCCAAGAGUUCUUUACUUCGUACUAUUUUUUGGCAUGUCAAAUCCUUUUAGAUGUUAAUCCUUUUCGUAAAGUAAAACAAUUGCUCUUUUGGAGGUUAAUGGAUUUUGAUAAUUUUUUUCCC